CCUUAGGUAAGGCUGGCACCAUGAACAUCUGGCUGUCCAGUGGCACCUGGAGUGAGGGAUUCCACCUAGGGAAAUGUUACUGAAACGAAGCUUUUCCCUUUAAGCAUCGCCUUUUUUGGGGGGAAAUUAUUAUUUUGUUGGAAAUCUGUUUCAGAUGUAAUGUGUAUAUCCCCCCAUCUUAUUAAUCCAGUUAUACUGCAUAUGAUCAGC
rnacentral:lncRNA from 10 species